rnacentral:rRNA from 1 species
AUUGAACGCUGGCGGCAUGCCUUACACAUGCAAGUCGAACGGUAACAGGUUAAGCUGACGAGUGGCGAACGGGUGAGUAAUGUAUCGGAACGUGCCCAGUCGUGGGGGAUAACUGCUCGAAAGAGCAGCUAAUACCGCAUACGACCUGAGGGUGAAAGCGGGGGAUCGCAAGACCUCGCGCGAUUGGAGCGGCCGAUAUCAGAUUAGGUAGUUGGUGGGGUAAAGGCCUACCAAGCCUACGAUCUGUAGCUGGUCUGAGAGGACGACCAGCCACACUGGGAGUGAGCAACGGCCCAGACUCCUACGGGAGGCAGCAGUGGGGAAUUGUGGACAAUGGACGCAAGUCUGAUCCAGCCAUGCCGCGUGCGGGAAGAAGGCCUUCGGGUUGUAAACCGCUUUUGUCAGGGAAGAAAAGGUUCUGGUUAAUACCUGGGACUCAUGACGGUACCUGAAGAAUAAGCACCGGCUAACUACGUGCCAGCCGCCGCAGUAAUAC